CUGGUUGAUCCUGCCAGUAGUGAUAUGCUUGUCUCAAAGAUUAAGCCAUGCAGGUCUAAGUACGAAUGGUAAAAAGUGAAACUGCAAACGGCUCAUUAAAUCAGUCUUGGUUUACUUGAUCGUACGUGUUGGUGGAUAACUGUGGUAAUUCUAGAGCUAAUACAUGCGCUAAAGCGUCGACUUCGGGAGGCGCGCACUUAUCAGACCAAAACCGACCGGGCGUUCGCGCGCCCGCCACGUUUGGUGACUCUGGAUAAUUCCGCUGAUCGUAUGGUCUCGUACCGACGACGGAUCAUUCAAGUGUCUGCCCUAUCAACUUUCGAAUGUAUGGUAUCGGCCUACGUUUGUGAUAACGGGUGACGGGGAAUCAGGGUUCGGUUCCGGAGAGGGAGCCUGAGAAACGGCUACCACAUCCAAGGAAGGCAGCAGGCGCGCAAAUUACCCACUUUUAACGCGAAGAGGUAGUGACGAAAAAUAACAAUAUAGGACUCUAACGAGGCCCUGUAAUUGGAAUGAGUACAAUCUAAACUCUUUAACGAGUAUCCAUUGGAGGGCAAGUCUGGUGCCAGCAGCCGCGGUAAUUCCAGCUCCAAUAGUGUAUGCUAAAGUUGUUGCGGUUGAAAAGCUCGUAGUUGGAUCUAGUGUGCCGGUCGCCGGUCCGCCGCAAGGCGUGCACUGGCGUUCGGCCUCUCUUUGCCGGUUCUCGGUCGGUGCUCUUGACUGAGUGUCGGCCGUGGCCGGCGGUUUUACUUUGAAAAAAUUAGAGUGUUCAAAGCAGGCCUGUCGCCUGUAUAUUCGUGCAUGGAAUAAUGGAAUAGGACCUCGUGUCUGUUUUGUUGGUUAUAGGACGCGAGGUAAUGAUUAAGAGGGACAGACGGGGGCAUCCGUACUCUGCCGUUAGAGGUGAAAUUCUUGGAUCGGCGGAAGACGAACUAUUGCGAAAGCAUUUGCCAAGAAUGUUUUCUUUAAUCAAGAGCGAAAGUCAGAGGUUCGAAGACGAUCAGAUACCGUCCUAGUUCUGACCAUAAACGAUGCCAACUAGCGAUCCGCCGACGUUACCAUGACGACUCGGCGGGGAGCUCCCGGGAAACCAAAGUCUUUGGGUUCCGGGGGAAGUAUGGUUGCAAAGCUGAAACUUAAAGGAAUUGACGGAAGGGCACCACCAGGAGUGGAGCCUGCGGCUUAAUUUGACUCAACACGGGGAAACUCACCCGGCCCGGACACAGGUAGGAUUGACAGAUUGAGAGCUCUUUCUUGAUUCUGUGGGUGGUGGUGCAUGGCCGUUCUUAGUUGGUGGAGCGAUUUGUCUGGUUAAUUCCGAUAACGAACGAGACUCUAUUCUGCUAAAUAGUUACGCGACCCUGUCGGUCGGCGUUGUUAAACUUCUUAGAGAGACUAGUGGCGUUUAGCCACACGAGAUUGAGCAAUAACAGGUCUGUGAUGCCCUUAGAUGUCCGGGGCUGCACGCGCGCUACAAUGAAUAAAGCAGCGUGUCUGUUACCUUGGCCGAAAGGUCUGGGAAACCCCGUAAAUUUAUUCGUGCUAGGGAUAGAGAUCUGGAAUCCUCUCUUGAACGAGGAAUUCCCAGUAAAUGCGAAUCAUCAGUUCGCGUUGAUUACGUCCCUGCCCUUUGUACACACCGCCCGUCGCUACUACCGAUUGAAUGGUUUAGUGAGGUCCUCGGAUUGACCCCUCUGUGAUCGGCAACGACCGCGGAGGCGCGUCGAAAAGAUGAUCGAACUUGAUCAUUUAGAGGAAGUAAAAGUCGUAACAAGGUUUCCGUAGGUGAACCUGCAGAUGGAUCAUUA
rnacentral:rRNA from 1 species